UACGUAGGGGGCAAGCGUUGUCCGGAUUUAUUGGGCGUAAAGAGCGUGUAGGCGGCUUGACAGGUCUGCUGUGAAAACUCGAGGCUCAACCUCGAGAUGUCGGCGGAAACCGUCUGGCUAGAGUCCGGAAGAGGAGAGUGGAAUUCCUGGUGUAGCGGUGAAAUGCGCAGAUAUCAGGAAGAACACCCGUGGCGAAGGCGGCUCUCUGGGACGGUACUGACGCUGAGACGCGAAAGCGUGGGGAGCGAACAGG
rnacentral:rRNA from 1 species